CAGUCGAGCGAGCGGAACCAACAGAUUUACUUCGGUAAUGACGUUGGGAAAGCGAGCGGCGGAUGGGUGAGUAACACGUGGGGAACCUGCCCCUAAGUCUGGGAUACCAUUUGGAAACAGGUGCUAAUACCGGAUAAUAAAGCGGAUCGCAUGAUCAGCUUUUGAAAGGCGGCGUAAGCUGUCGCUAAGGGAUGGCCCCGCGGUGCAUUAGCUAGUUGGUAAGGUAACGGCUUACCAAGGCGACGAUGCAUAGCCGAGUUGAGAGACUGAUCGGCCACAUUGGGACUGAGACACGGCCCAAACUCCUAUGGGAGGCAGCAGUAGGGAAUCUUCCACAAUGGACGCGAGUCUGAUGGAGCAACGCCGCGUGAGUGAAGAAGGUUUUCGGAUCGUAAAGCUCUGUUGUUGGUGAAGAAGGAUAGAGGUAGUAACUGGCCUUUAUUUGACGGUAAUCAACCAGAAAGUCACGGCUAACUACGUGCCAGCAGCCGCGGUAAUACGUAGGUGGCAAGCGUUGUCCGGAUUUAUUGGGCGUAAAGCGAGCGCAGGCGGAAAAAUAAGUCUAAUGUGAAAGCCCUCGGCUUAACCGAGGAACUGCAUCGGAAACUGUUUUUCUUGAGUGCAGAAGAGGAGAGUGGAACUCCAUGUGUA
rnacentral:rRNA from 1 species